rnacentral:lncRNA from 9 species
GGCAUGGUGACCCGGUUACACAUACAUGCACACGUUCUAUUUUCGCACAUUAUCAUGCUCCAUCAUAAGUGACUGGACAUAGCUCCCCAGGGCUACACAGCAGGCUCUCACUGCCCAUCCAUUCCAAAGGCAAGAGUUUGUAUCUAUUAACCCCAAGCUCCCCAGCCGCCCCAGUCCCUCCCCCUCCCCCUCCCCUCUCCCCUUGGCAACCACAAGUCUCUUCUCCAAGUCCAUGAUUUUCUUUUCUGUGGAAAGGUUCAUCUGUGCCUCAUGUUAGACGCCAGAUACAUUCUUGCUGGUUUUGGUGUGGAGGGCCGGAGUGUUUGCAGUUUUGUCCUUGGAGUUAGGGUAGCAGGUUUGCUGAUGGAAAGUGACUUACAGGUAAAGUCACGGGGCCAGGUACUGUAGUCCCAGGAACAAGCCGUGUUACCAUUAGUCGAUGGAGGUUUGUGUGCAAGGGACUAGGGGGUGUGUAUGGGAAACGGCUGGUAGGAUUCUGAGUGUGUCAAAAUCCUGAGCCUUCCUCUGACCCUCCUCCCAGAUGACCCCGAGUACCCGAGGCGGAAGGUGUCCGGCAUCAGUGCUCAGAAAGUUGUUCCACCUUCCACCAAGAUGCUGGAUGAGGAGGACACUGACAAAGACGGGAUGAGUUUGGAGGUCGACACUCCAGUGACGAACCAUCGGGGUGACGACGACGAUGACGAAGAAGAUCUCCCCGAGAUAGUGCUGGAUGACGUGCCUGCGGUGAGGGUGGCGGGACGGCCUCCAUUCGCUCCGCGGGUGGCCUUCAUGGUGAACAAAACACAUGACCCCGAGUACCCGAGGCGGAAGGUGUCCGGCAUCAGUGCUCAGAAAGUUGUUCCACCUUCCACCAAGAUGCUGGAUGAGGAGGACACUGACAAAGACGGGAUGAGUUUGGAGGUCGACACUCCAGUGACGAACCAUCGGGGUGACGACGACGAUGACGAAGAAGAUCUCCCCGAGAUAGUGCUGGAUGACGUGCCUGCGGUGAGGGUGGCGGGACGGCCUCCAUUCGCUCCGCGGGUAAGUUGGGUUUUUAGUCUGAGCUCGCAGUGUUGCUCUAUUUCCCCUCCGUGGACAUUAAGUUAUGACAGCCUGAGCCUGCACGUUCCAGACCAUGUGGACGGUUCCGAGGGUUGGGACUCCAUGUCAGGCGCGUCUGUUGCCAACUCCCGAUGCCUGCUUCCGCAGGGCAAUGCGAUAACAACACCUGUCCCAGCCUGCAGAGGACAGAGCUCCUUCUCCAGAAGCAUCUUUUCCUCGAGGAAAGAGUUCUGUCAUCUCCAACUGACAUGGCCUUGGACAUCCCGUCGUCUAGGACAAGUUCUUGCCUUUGUCCCCGAGGAGGGUUUGCUCUGCCUUUGCUGGGUUCUCUGGACUCCACCGCUGUUGUGCAUCGGGGUUUCUGCUG